rnacentral:rRNA from 2 species
GGGGAAUAUUGGGCAAUGGGCGCAAGCCUGACCCAGCAACGCCGCGUGAAGGAAGAAGGCUUUCGGGUUGUAAACUUCUUUUAAGAGGGACGAAAGAAAUGACGGUACCUCUUGAAUAAGCCACGGCUAACUACGUGCCAGCAGCCGCGGUAAUACGUAGGUGGCAAGCGUUAUCCGGAUUUACUGGGCGUAAAGGGCACGCAGGCGGUUUUUUAAGUCAGAUGUGAAAGGUACCGGCUCAACCGGUAACAUGCAUUUGAAACUGAAAGACUUGAGUAUUGGAGAGGCAAGUGGAAUUCCUAGUGUAGCGGUGAAAUGCGUAGAUAUUAGGAGGAACACCGGUGGCGAAGGCGGCUUGCUGGACAAAUACUGACGCUGAGGUGCGAAAGCGUGGGGAGCAAACA